ensembl:lncRNA
GUGCAAUGAAUCUAGAAUAUAAGAAAGUUUGCUUUUUUGAAUUAAAUUACAAAAAAUAAGUAGCUUUUGUGAGAAUGACACAAAACACUGCUGAGAAUUUGGGAUAAACCCAGCUAACAAAAAUAUGUUCUAAGAACUUUUUGUUAAGAUUCUUAAUAAGUUAUUAAAUCGUUAUUUCUGAAUAUUCAACACAUGCAGUUUUAUUAUUAUUAUUAUUAUUAUUAUUAUUUUAAUUUGAAUUAAAAAUGUGUUAUUUUUUCUUGGUUAUGCAAAUAUUAAGGGAACCUUCCACAUCCAACUAAAAUGUAUCAAGUAAAAAGGUUACAUGAGCGAUACAUAUAUUUUCGUAAAUAACAUUUUGAGAAAAUUAAUAAAGACCAUAUAACUUUGAAUAAACAUUAUAUUAAUUUUAUUGGAAGAAUGUUGCCAAACGUUCUGACAAUGUUCACCGUUCACUUGUAUUGUCAAAUACACAGUGCAAAAAAAAAUCGAAUGGUCCUAAAAGAUAUAUAAGUAAAGUAUGCUAAAUUAAAUGAAACUAAAUAUGAUAUAUUAUAAUAUAACACAAUAUAAUAUCGUAUCAUAUAAAAAAGUGAAUGUUUGCAAACACUGGUGUGUGAUGCUUUUUCGCUGAAACCCAGAAUAAGUUUCUGAUUAUCUUACAGAGCUGCAAAAACAGACACCAUACUGCGCUGCGGUCACCUUUAUCCAAGGCUUCCUGUUAAUUCAGUUAGUUAUUCACACAGUUAACUGACCAGCACUUUGUGAACAUUAUAUUACUGUUGAAUGUUGCUACAGUACAGUACAGUAGGCCCAUUCAGUUUGUUUGAAUAAAACUAGUGAGAACGAUCCUGUUUUGUGUGCUGUUCUCUUUCAACCCAGGAGCUCUCAGUCUGGUGAAAGCAAACCCAUGAUUUGGGACAGGGCCAAUCCAAGAGUUCUCAAAGCUUCAGAGCCCCACUGGAGAGAAACUACAGUCCAGAGCAACCGUGGGAACAUGCAAGUAGUAAUUUUACAUUUUACUGAUGUUUGGCUUGAAUUCAAGUUUAUACAUUUAGUUUAAUACCAUAAAAUAGACAAAACCUAAUGUUUAAGUCUUUUGAAGGCUUUGCUGCCAUCUUGUGGUCCAGUAAAAAGGGUAUUUUUUUAAACCAGUUUUAACCUUAAAAAACUAGCUAAAAAAAGUUAUAUUAUUUCAGUUUGAAUUGUUUAUUUUAUGGCUUUAGUUUUAGUUAACAAAAAUAACCCUGUUUAUUGGUGGCAGUGGUCCACCACAGGACAUAACUCUGCAUCUGAUUGUAUCCAAACAACGGCAUGUGAAUCAUAGACUGCCAAGAAAAAGUAAUACUAAUACCAUGUUUGGAAUGCUAAUGUACUAUUUUCUGCAUAGUUCACUUUAUAGGCAUACUAUUAAAAAAAAAAUAAAAAAUCCAAAGUUUAUAGCGGUUCACAUAGUAUUUUUCUAAAUGGUAUGAUAAAAUGUCAUUUAUUCCUGUGAUGUUUAAGCUGUAUUUUCAGCAUCAUUACUUUAGUCUUCAGUGUCACCUGAUUAUGCUGAAUAUGGAAUGUGCUGAUCUGGUGCUCAAGAAGCAUUUCUUACUUUUAUGAAUGUUACAGUUAUUUAAUAUUUUUAAGUUUUAUAUUGAUAUUUAAUAUUAAUGUCUUUGUGGAAAUCUUGAUAAAAAAAA